UGAGUAGGCGGGAAAUCAAGUCAGAUGUGAAAUGCAGGGGCUUAACCCCUGAACUGCAUUUGAAACUGUUUUUCUUGAGUGUCGGAGAGGUAAUUGGAAUUCCCAGUGUAGCGGUGAAAUGCGUAGAGAUUGGGAGGAACACCAGUGGCGAAGGCGGAUUACUGGACGACAACUGACGCUGAGGCACGAAAGUGUGGGGAGCAAACA
rnacentral:rRNA from 1 species